AUUGUCCUAGAGGAACAUUGCAGGCACGGCUACUGUGCCAUGUGUGUUUCUGUAGGUGGCAGAGAGGAGAGUGGCUAUAUCUACUCUCAGUGUCCUGACCUGUGAACAUCUAAACCAUUCACAGCCUGACAGU